rnacentral:rRNA from 1 species
CGCUGGCGGCUUGGCUUUCUACAUGCUAGUCGAACGGCCCGCCAGGGGAGCUUGCUCCUUGUGUGGCGAGUGGCGGACGGGUGAUGACCUGUCGGAAUCUACUCUGUCGUGGGGGAUAACCCGCGGAAACUUACGCUAAUACCGCAUUUAUCCUACAGGGGAAGGCCCGGGAUCUUCUGACCUUGUGCGGUUGAAUAAGCCUAUCUCGGAUUAGCUAGUAGG